rnacentral:rRNA from 1 species
GAUGAACGCUAGCGGCAGGCUUAAUACAUGCAAGUCGAGGGACAGCACAGGUAGCAAUACUGGGUGGUAACCGGCAAACGGGUGCGGAACACGUACACAACCUUCCUUUAAGUGGGGGAUAGCCCAGAGAAAUUUGGAUUAAUACCCCGUAAUAUAGUUGAAUGGCAUCAUUUGAUUUUAAUAGUUAGGGGGUUAAAGGUGGGUGUGGGGCUGAUUAGAUAGUUGGCGGGGUAACGGCCCAACAAGUCUACGAUUAGUAGCUGAUGGGAGAGCAUGAUCAGCCACACGGGCACUGAGACACGGGCCCGACUCCUACGGGAGGCAGCAGUAAGGAAUAUUGGUCAAUGGACGCAAGUCUGAACCAGCCAUGCCGCGUGAAGGAUUAAGGUCCUCUGGAUUGUAAACUUCUUUUAUUUGGGACGAAAAAGGGCCUUUCUAGGUCAACUGACGGUACCAGAUGAAUAGGCACCGGCUAACUCCGUGCCAGCAGCCGCCGUAAUAC